CCCUUAGAUGUUCUGGGCCGCACGCGCGCUACACUGAUGCAUUCAACGAGUCUAAAACCUGGUCUGAUAGGGCUGGGUAAUCUUUUGAAUGUGCAUCGUGAUUGGGAUAGAUGAUUGCAAUUCUUCAUCUUCAACGAGGAAUGCCUAGUAAACGCAAGUCAUCAGCUUGCAUUGAUUACGUCCCUGCCCUUUGUACACACCGCCCGUCGCCCCUACCGAUUGAAUGUUCCGAUGAAUACCAUGGACUGAGAGUAUGAAUGGGUUCGCCUAUUUCUGCUUCUCGGGAAGUGGAGUAAAUCUUAACAUUUAGAGGAAGGAGAAGUCGUAACA
rnacentral:rRNA from 1 species